rnacentral:rRNA from 1 species
UACGCAGGUGGCAAGCGUUAUCCGGAAUUAUUGGGCGUAAAGCGCGCGCAGGCGGUUUCUUAAGUCUGAUGUGAAAGCCCACGGCUCAACCGUGGAGGGUCAUUGGAAACUGGGGAACUUGAGUGCAGAAGAGAAAAGCGGAAUUCCACGUGUAGCGGUGAAAUGCGUAGAGAUGUGGAGGAACACCAGUGGCGAAGGCGGUCUGCUGGGCCGUUGCUGACGCUGAGGCGCGACAGCGUGGGGAGCAAACAGG